rnacentral:lncRNA from 1 species
UCCAUUGCUUGCCAUCCCUUCCAGCAGCUGUGGAGAGUGCCAAGCUUCAUUCAGACACGUUGCUCCAAAGACUGCUUGAUGCUGGGCUUUCUCCCCACACCCCACCCCUGCUCCACUCAGCCAUUUCUGUGCAGUCUAAGCUGGAAAAUAAUUCCCCACAGUGACUGAGCAGCAAUCCACAAAUAGACCUCUGCUAGCUUAUGUUGCCUCUAGGUUUCUUCUGGCAGCUGCAGCUUUCUUUCAAAGAAUAAGUGCUUUAAAAAAGAGGCCAGUGAGAAGAAGAUUGCCUCACAUGAGCUACUGGAAUUGACUCUCCUUCAUUUCACACCAGCUUCAGUGUUCAUGUAACACCUCAUUUCUCAGUUGAUCUUUACAGCUGCUGUCACCUUGCUUGAUCUCACAUCAAUGUUGUCUUGAGCUGCCCAACAGCUGAUGGCCAAAUACUGUGGAUCUGAAGCCAGUUCUAAUUUUAACUCCAGAUUUUCUUUCAGCUUUUGAUGACAAUCAGAACAUUUCUUCAAGACCUGAAAUGUCAGGCAUCCAAGAAAUACCAUCAGCUAUACCUGCUCUCCCGAGACCAGUUCUGGAGCCCACAUCUUUUCCUUUCCUGAAAACCACGAGGACAGUGAUGGGUAAACAGUGAUUCCAUCCUAAUUUCUAUCAUUUCACAAUACUUAAAUAAGAAAAGCUGUACUUUAAAAUUUAGUCCAAACAUUUCAGUUCUUUUGCUGAUAGUGGCAAUGCCAAACAUUUCAGCAAGGUCAUCAAUCAUUUAUGUAAAUGAUGAGAUACUUCAUUAUUAAGCUUCUCAACUGCUCUUCCUCAUUUUCAUCUCUAUAGGCAUAGUUCGCUAAAAGAGUAACUGUCUGUAUACAACACUAACUCAACUAAGCCCUCCAGAUUUUGAAGUGGAAUAACCUUUUAAUGAAUGCAAAUAGUUAUGUAAAAAAGCUGAAUGUAAUAUGGACUUUAAUCACACAGUCCUAUACUGACUCAUAUUUAAAAAAAGAAAUUAGUCACUAUUUCUAAAAGUUUUCUGAUUUAAUCUUAGUUACUAAGAGACCAAAGCUGAAAUCUUCUUCUCCUUACCUUGCAAGCCAAGCAACAGUGGAGGGUAAAAAUAUAUUUUAAUUUUUUCUUUUUUCUUGAUGUCAUUUCACAUAAUUUUCACUUGCUUUGAGCAAUAUCUGUGGUUUGUUAAUGCACUUUAGAACACUUGCCAUACUAAUGACAUGGUUAUGAUGUUUGAACAUUUUUUUUUCCAUCAGUUGAAAAGUCAGUUUUGAAUGGACCAGUGACAAAAAGAAUUUGUCACAGAAUUCCUGUGUGACUUUAUAUGCAGAGUUAUUUUGAAAAUUCUUUUUAGAAUGAAAUAUUCCAAUAUGGCAGAAACAUAAUUUUGUGUCUUCUUACUAAUGUGGAUUUGUUAGCAUACAGAACAUUUUUUAUCUUUUUGAAUGAGGACUAAAGUUCAAGCUUGAUGAAUAGGCAUGUUAAUCGAUGGCUUAUAGACUAACUGUAAGGAAAAAGGAAUUAUAUUUCACAGGGAAUUGCAACACCUUUCAUGGAAAGGAUGAGAGCUUAUAUAUUCUGUGUAAAAACCAAUAGUGAAAACAGUAAGAAAAGACUUGCAUAAAUUAUUG